ACUAUGCCUAGUAGUAAACUUUAACUUACCCUUACAUCGCCCGGGAACUACGAGCCAAGCUUAAAACCCAAAGGACUUGACGGUACCCCAUAUCCCCCUAGAGGAGCCUGUCCUAUAAUCGAUAAUCCCCGUUUAACCUCACCAUUUUUUGCUAAUCAGCCUGUAUACCUCCGUCGUCAGCUUACCACGUGAGCGUCAGUGAGCCUAAUGUUUUUCCAACUAUACGUCAGGUCAAGGUGCAACAUAUAAAAUGGAAAGAGAUGGGCUACACUUUCUAUCAUAGAAUAAACGAAAGACUAAAUGAAACCUGGUCAGAAGGCGGAUUUAGUAGUAAAAUGAAACUAGAGCGUUCACUUAAAUACGGCACUGGGGUGUGUACACACCGCCCGUCACCCUCCUCAACUCUGCAUAAAAGUUUUUAACGCCUUUUCAGAGACUCAGAAGAGGCAAGUCGUAACACGGUAAG
rnacentral:rRNA from 1 species